GGAAGUAAAAAUCGUAACAAGGUUUCCGUAGGUGAACCUGCGGAAGGAUCAUUGUCGAAUCCUGCAUAGCAGUACCACUCGCGAACAAGUUUACAAAAACAGGCCUGAUCGGGUGCGGGGAUUUCCUCGGACUCGAUUUGUGUCUAACGGUGCCAGGGCUUUUUGACCUGGUGCCUAACAAACCCCCGGCGCGAGAAGCGCCAAGGAAUACUCUUAACAAGGGCUUGAUCCAUCCUCUCCCGUUUGCGGGGUGCAGGGGAUUGGGGACAGCUUCUUACUAAACCAAAACGACUCUCGGCAACGGAUAUCUCGGCUCUCGCAUCGAUGAAGAACGUAGCGAAAUGCGAUACUUGGUGUGAAUUGCAGAAUCCCGUGAACCAUCGAGUCUUUGAACGCAAGUUGCGCCUGAAGCCAUUAGGCUAAGGGCACGUCUGCCUGGGCGUCACGCAUCGCGUCACCCCCUCACCAAUCAUGGUGUGCGGGGUGGAUUGUGACCUCCUAUGCCUAGGGUGCAGUUGGUCGAAAAUUGAGUCCGGAGCUUAGGAUGUCACGGCAAGUGGUGGUUGGAUAACAACUCGCGUCCUGUCGUGUGCCGAACCUCAUGUGACUGUCAAGACCCUAAGGCGCACGUUGCCCUCCUAUUUGGGUGGGAAGCCUGCGCUACGACCGCGACCCCAGGUCAGGCGGGACUACCCGCUGAAUUUAAGCAUAUCAA
rnacentral:rRNA from 1 species